rnacentral:lncRNA from 1 species
ACCAUCUACCCAGAGGCCUCCAGAAAGACACUGGACCACAGUAGAAUAGGUAAACCAAGAGCCUUCAGAUCCCAACAAGACCAAGCCCAGGAAACCAUGUGCAACGCAAACCAUCUAUACUCUAGCGUGAGAACAUCACACUCCCUGCCAUCCUAACCUGGUAAAGUCAUUCCAACAGCAGAAAUGCUGUGAAAUAAGGCACAUCCUUAACACAGGACAGGAAUUGGUGUCAGUAACUGUAAAUUCAUCCUGAAACGGCCAGUGCAAGGAUGAACAUUCAAAAGCCUGAUCAAAGGCCACAGCAGGAUCUUUAAAAUUGCCAAUUAGAAGAAAUAUCCAUUUGGUAGCAUAGCAGAAGGUGGGUUUAAAGAGACAGAAGACACAGAGGAAGGAAUCCCUCUGCCCUUUUAAGAGACUCCCGCGCAGUUCACAGGACCAGGUUUGCAUGCACAACCCAUGAAUCUUCAGAGGAUGACAGCUCCAUUAAUCUACUGCUGGAAUGCCACGGAAGCUCUGUGCCCACAUACAUGGGAAGCCUCAACAAAGAUGGCCCUGUACCCAUGAUCAGAAAAGCAACACAGUCACGGUUCCUAAGAAGAUUCCACAAAUCAUCAGGUUCAAUCUUUUGCAAAUACUGGAGGGUACACAUGGAGCAGAAGGCCCCAGAUGAUGCUAUCUUCAACUGCACAUCACCAGUCCAGCUUCACAAAGAACAAGAAGGCUAGAAAGACCCUCCUCAACCCUGGGGUCA